GACGAACGCUGGCGGCGUGCUUAACACAUGCAAGUCGAACGGAAAGGCCCUGCUUUUGUGGGGUGCUCGAGUGGCGAACGGGUGAGUAACACGUGAGUAACCUGCCCUUGACUUUGGGAUAACUUCAGGAAACUGGGGCUAAUACCGGAUAGGAGCUCCUGCUGCAGGGUGGGGGUUGGAAAGUUUCGGCGGUUGGGGAUGGACUCGCGGCUUAUCAGCUUGUUGGUGGGGUAGUGGCUUACCAAGGCUUUGACGGGUAGCCGGCCUGAGAGGGUGACCGGCCACAUUGGGACUGAGAUACGGCCCAGACUCCUACGGGAGGCAGCAGUGGGGAAUAUUGCACAAUGGGCGGAAGCCUGAUGCAGCAACGCCGCGUGCGGGAUGACGGCCUUCGGGUUGUAAACCGCUUUCGCCUGUGACGAAGCGUGAGUGACGGUAAUGGGUAAAGAAGCACCGGCUAACUACGU
rnacentral:rRNA from 1 species